rnacentral:tRNA from 1 species
UCUAAUAUGGCAGAAAAGUGCAAUGGGUUUAAGCUCCAUACAUAAAGUAUAAAUCUUUUAUUAGAA